GGGUCGUUAGCUCAGCUGGUAGAGCAUCGGACUUUUAAUCCGCUGGUCGCAGGUUCGAACCCUGCACGACCCA
rnacentral:tRNA from 1 species